rnacentral:rRNA from 1 species
UGGGGAAUAUUGCACAAUGGACGGAAGUCUGAUGCAGCAACGCCGCGUGCGGGAUGACGGCCUUCGGGUUGUAAACCGCUUUUUCUCAUGACGAAGUUUUUUGACGGUAGUGGGGGAAGAAGCACCGGCUAACUACGUGCCAGCAGCCGCGGCGAUACGUAGGGUGCGAGCGUUGUCCGGAAUUAUUGGGCGUAAAGAGCUUGUAGGCGGUUUGUCGCGUCGAUAGUGCAAACUCAGUGCUUAACGCUGAGCCUGCUGUUGAUACGGGCAGACUAGAGGAAGGUAGGGGAGAAUGGAAUUCCCGGUGGAGCGGUGGAAUGCGCAGAUAUCGGGAGGAACACCGGUGGCGAAGGCGGUUCUCUGGGCCUUUCCUGACGCUGAGAAGCGAAAGCGUGGGGAGCGAACAGG